rnacentral:rRNA from 1 species
GAUGAACGCUGGCGGCGUGCCUAAUACAUGCAAGUCGAGCGAACAGACGAGGAGCUUGCUCCUCUGACGUUAGCGGCGGACGGGUGAGUCACACGUGGAUAACCUACCUAUAAGACUGGGAUAACUUCGGGAAACCGGAGCUAAUACCGGAUAAUAUAUUGAACCGCAUGGUUCAAUAGUGAAAGACGGUUUUGCUGUCACUUAUAGAUGGAUCCGCGCCGCAUUAGCUAGUUGGUAAGGUAACGGCUUACCAAGGCAACGAUGCGUAGCCGACCUGAGAGGGUGAUCGGCCACACUGGAACUGAGACACGGUCCAGACUCCUACGGGAGGCAGCAGUAGGGAAUCUGCCGCAAAGGGCGAAAGCAUGACGGAGCAACGCCGCGUGAGUGAUGAAGGUCUUCGGAUCGUAAAACUCUGUUAUUAGGGAAGAACAAAUGUGUAAGUAACUAUGCACGUCUUGACGGUACCUAAUCAGAAAGCCACGGCUAACUACGUG